ensembl:snoRNA
UUUCCAUGAUGAAAGCUUUGUUCAGUUCUGCUACUGAAUUAAAGUGAUGAUAACACAGAGACUGAGAAA